GCUAUACAGGCAGNUCGAGCGAGCUUGCCUAGAUGAUUUUAGUGCUUGCACUAAAUGAAACUAGAUACAAGCGAGCGGCGGACGGGUGAGUAACACGUGGGUAACCUGCCCAAGAGACUGGGAUAACACCUGGAAACAGAUGCUAAUACCGGAUAACAACACUAGACGCAUGUCUAGAGUUUGAAAGAUGGUUCUGCUAUCACUCUUGGAUGGACCUGCGGUGCAUUAGCUAGUUGGUAAGGUAACGGCUUACCAAGGCAAUGAUGCAUAGCCGAGUUGAGAGACUGAUCGGCCACAUUGGGACUGAGACACGGCCCAAACUCCUACGGGAGGCAGCAGUAGGGAAUCUUCCACAAUGGACGAAAGUCUGAUGGAGCAACGCCGCGUGAGUGAAGAAGGGUUUCGGCUCGUAAAGCUCUGUUGGUAGUGAAGAAAGAUAGAGGUAGUAACUGGCCUUUAUUUGACGGUAAUUACUUAGAAAGUCACGGCUAACUACGUGCCAGCAGCCGCGGUAAUACGUAGGUGGCAAGCGUUGUCCGGAUUUAUUGGGCGUAAAGCGAGUGCAGGCGGUUCAAUAAGUCUGAUGUGAAAGCCUUCGGCUCAACCGGAGAAUUGCAUCAGAAACUGUUGAACUUGAGUGCAGAAGAGGAGAGUGGAACUCCAUGUGUAGCGGUGGAAUGCGUAGAUAUAUGGAAGGACACCAGUGGCGAAGGCGGCUCUCUGGUCUGCAACUGACGCUGAGGCUCGAAA
rnacentral:rRNA from 1 species